CAGCAGCCGCGGGAAUACGUAGGGUGCAAGCGUUAAUCGGAAUUACUGGGCGUAAAGCGUGCGCAGGCGGUUAUAUAAGUCAGAUGUGAAAUCCCCGGGCUCAACCUGGGAACUGCAUUUGAGACUGUAUGGCUAGAGUGUGUCAGAGGGGGGUAGAAUUCCACGUGUAGCAGUGAAAUGCGUAGAUAUGUGAAGGAAUACCGAUGGCGAAGGCAGCCCCCUGGGAUAACACUGACGCUCAUGCACGAAAGCGUGGGGAGCAAACAGGAUUAGAUACCCGUGUAGUCCCUGUAUCUUAUAC
rnacentral:rRNA from 1 species